CACGUAGGGCGCAAGCGUUGUCCGGAAUUAUUGGGCGUAAAGAGCUCGUAGGUGGUUUGUUACGUCCGCUGUGAAAUCCUAGGGCUUAACCCUGGGCUUGCAGUGGAUACGGGCAGACUAGAGGUAGGUAGGGGAGAAUGGAAUUCCUGGUGUAGCGGUGAAAUGCGCAGAUAUCGGGAGGAACACCGGUGGCGAAGGCGGCGACCUGGGUAGAUACUGACGCUGAGGUGCGAAAGCGUGGGGAGCAAACAGG
rnacentral:rRNA from 1 species